AGUGAACGCUGGCGGUAGGCCUAACACAUGCAAGUCGAACGGCAGCACAGUAAGAGCUUGCUCUUACGGGUGGCGAGUGGCGGACGGGUGAGGAAUACAUCGGAAUCUACUUUUUCGUGGGGGAUAACGUAGGGAAACUUACGCUAAUACCGCAUACGACCUACGGGUGAAAGCAGGGGAUCUUCGGACCUUGCGCGAUUGAAUGAGCCGAUGUCGGAUUAGCUAGUUGGCGGGGUAAAGGCCCACCAAGGCGACGAUCCGUAGCUGGUCUGAGAGGAUGUUCAGCCACACUGGAACUGAGACACGGUCCAGACUCCUACGGGAGGCAGCAGUUGGGAAUGUUGGACAAAGGGCGCAAGCCUGAUCCAGCCAUACCGCGUGGGUGAAGAAGGCCUUCGGGUUGUAAAGCCCUUUUGUUGGGAAAGAAAAGCAGCAGGUUAAUACCCCGCUGUUCUGACGGUACCCAAAGAAUAAGCACCGGCUAACUUCGUG
rnacentral:rRNA from 1 species